GUGCUCACUUCAGCAGCACAUGCACUAAUAUAGGAACAAUGCAGAGAAGAUUAGCGUGGCCCCUGUUCAAGAUGACACGCAAAUUUGUGAAGUGUUCCAUAUUUUU
ensembl:snRNA U6 U6 spliceosomal RNA